CAUAUAUAUAAUUGGACGUAUAGUGAUACAUUCGCCGUUAUCGCUUAUCUACCGUGUCUUCUGCUUAAGUGUUAUACCCACAGAUCCAAUCAGAUUUAACACGAUACGAUAAACUCCUCGACCCACUUUUCCUUAUCAGCGUAACCUGCAUUGCUCUCGAUAACAGGAAAUAAUCAAUAACGACCGUACCGGGGUACUUCCUACCAAAUAUAGAUAACUAGUUAGAAUUUAUUAUGGUCUUUCGAAUUGGAAAGCCCUAACAUUUUUCUUUAAUACUUUUCAUUGACUCGUUUUGCAAAUGACUCUUUUUACUCGAGCGAAAUCUCAAGGAAAGAACAAACUGCGAAUAUAAUAUAUACGGGUAUACAUGUAUAAUAUAUACAGAUACCAGCUAUGUCGGUAACACGUCUUGUGACAGGUGUGUGUUUUUGUUAAAUAAUACAUGAGUUGCAUCGUAAGCCAUUUAUGGUCCUACGUGUGUAUAUCAUAAGAAAAACCGUGGAAAAAUUCUACACGUAAUUGUAAAUAAUCCAAUUUCUCACGAUUCCAAUUAAUUGUAAUUUGUCUAUUUCGUGUUGAAAAACUCACGAGCGCAUAGGGUAGCACAGUGUAUAUACAUAACAUUAAGUUCGGAAUAGGCUAAUAUAGAGAAGCACGUUAACGAUUUAUAAGACAGACGUGACGCAACGAGUCUCACACGUAUAAUAAAAAACGAGAGAGAGGCGGAAGUAAAGGAAUCACGAUCUGCAGCAAUGAGAAGCAACGUCUUCGAUGCUAAGAUAAGAAUAUCGCAAUUGGACAGGAAGAGCGGCAAGCAACUCCCCAUUAAAUAUAAAAUAUAGAGCUGACUCGCCGUUACUGGACCAAGUGAAUUUUUGGCCAAGCGAUUAAGUAAAUGCGUAGUUAGGCUAGCAAGAAUUAUGUAAAAUCCACGAUGUCCCAAAACGUGUAAAUUGCACCCAUACUCUUGUAUACCCAGAUACCGUACACAUUCUCAAAAGGAUAUGAGUCGCGGAUGUGCAUAUGGCACUCUUUCCUGAAGACGUAGAGACACAAGAAGAAUCCAUAAUAUCCUCGCGUGGGAUUGAAUGACUACACGUGACUAAUGCCACUCCAAAUGGAGAAGGAGGAACCGCCUGCAAUGCGUUUGGCAUACAAAAUGGAAAGUAAAUGCGCUACGAGUCUCUCUCGGGUCUCGUAGAAAGAAACGCAAACCGGAAAUGACGUUUGCACUAGCUUGGCUAGUGCAACGUCCGUAACUUAUGACGUGUCUCGUACGUUUUAUAUACAGUAAAUACCAAGCGGUGACACGUUCUGUUCUACUAACGUAAGCAUUAAAGUCACCAGUCCGAUGGUUUUCGUUGCUUUUGGUCACUCAACUGGCCAGUGGAUAUACGUAUGUACUAAAUAUAUACAGGUUCGACUACUCUCGCGUGCGCUCGUUCAACUCUCCGAACCCGUUUGCCAUCCUGAUGGAGAAUCACACGCCCCCAGGAGCAGCGGACAGCCGUGAGCGGAUUUAACGGGAAAAGAAGUCAAACGAAGCAAUGGGCAUUGUGUCACUUUAAUUGUCAAAUAUAUUUCAUGGCACUCGGUAUACAUUGUUUUGAUUUCAGGACGGACGUGAUAUAGACACUUUGACGGAUGAGGAUCAUGGUUGCCGGAUCUAAUCGAUGGGGCCCAGCUGGUUAACACUGGACCCGAACAGUCGAUGCUGAAUCUUGAACAGCUUCUGGAUGGAUUCUAUCAAUCCUUACAGACCUAGAUGAGUUCCGAGACUCGGAUUGCUCUCUAUCUAGAUAUAGGCCUGAACAGUUGAGUUCCUUGACUCUAGAAGCCUAUGCUACAUGACUCAACGACGCCGCCACGCCACGCCUACCAAGCCUCGAGGCGGCAGAGUACCUCGCUUUCUUUGUUACAGUCAAGAUCCGAGGACUGAAUGGAAAAUCCAGCGGAUCCCAGUACCUGGAGGAUGCACGAGUAUUCGUGAGAAACGGAUGGACUGAGAGUCCAUCGAUAUGGCUGCAACUUGAUUCGCCAAUAGCAUCGAGAACCUUCUACGUCUCGGCAUGGAAAAAUCGAGGUCUGCGACAAUUAAUGGUCUUGUUUAUUUCACGAGGUUUUAACAAGCAGUUCACAGGCUAGAAAGCUAUCCUUGGUGGAUGGCCGCUUGCAUAAUCGCGGUCCGAUUUUUCUUCAGAAGGUCACUACUGCUAUCGGCCUCCGGCAAGCAGCGCUUAACGUCAUCCGGAUAAUACCGCAAGCCGAUAAAAACAAGUAUGGCGAUGCGUCGAUUUAUUCCUCAGAGACUUUAUCUUCAACAUUAGCUUCGUUAUUCCACCUAUGACUAGAAUCUUCGUGCCGGUUCACGUAACUCUUAUCUAACGUUCGCAUAACCUUGUUUGUCUAUAAGACUCGAGAAAGUAUCUCUAAUAAUGCUGUGUUGCCUUCGUGAGGUAUUUUGAUAAUUAUCAAAAUAAUUUUUUUUUUUUUUCAUUGGAAAGCAAAAAACUACCCAACUCAAUGUCCACAGGUAGUCUUUAAGGACACACCCAACGUUCUACCCCGCAUCCGGAAAACGCAUUCCUGCAGGAUUACGGUACCAAGUUGACUCGGCUAACCCUCGAUCAGCACGGAUCGGUGAAUGAGCCUCAUUCAUUCCAGCAGCGGUUAUACCUGGUGUAACGAUUCUCAAAACGAUGUCGAAACGUAACGAACACCUAAUAAGUGAUUUCAGUUCUGGAGACGCAACGGAGACGCUUCAUUUUUUUUCUAUAACGGUAUGCCAACUGACGUUCCCGGUUUAUGGAUCAGUGACCGUAGACAAAAUUACUCCAUUACUGGUGAAACGCGUGCGUAUUACUGCACGGAGUCAAAGAAGACUAUUAUUCAGCCUGGAGAUAAGUGACAAACGGAGAUAGGAAUUGAUAUGGGAAUUACAAGCGAGGCGUAUUACUCUAACUGAACCGAGAAAGAGUAGAAAGAAGAUAUUCUUCGAUAGAAUUAACAUACAUUCCCAAUUGAUAGUCCACAAGGUUCACGAGGUCAACGUGAAAAUAUUAUGGGAACAAAUUGUACCUAGUGAAAUGAACAAAAAUGUUGAUAGGUAAUUCGUUUCUCGUUAAAGCGAAUCGCCGAUUCAGAAAGCAUGUCUAACAAUUCUCUUGGAUUCUUCGCUUAUCCAUCACUGUAUAUAGCCUAUACUCAGAUUUCACUUGAAUAUAAUAUGAAAAAUGAAACUACAACGUGAUGCUCUCUUGAUAUACUCCUACACGCUAACUCCAUUCUACUCCAUUCUGUUGUGGAGUUUACACGAAGGGACUAGCAGCAAUAAAUAUACGUACGCACGUACAUUGUAAACGCUUAAGAGAAGCACCUGAGCGUGAACGAGAACUCAUUAAUGCAUCGCCAUGCCUUCCUUCCACCUGUUAUGAAUCGAAAGAAAAAUUUUAACCGGCCGAGAAAUUCGUCUUCGUUGUUAAAGUAACGUUUUUGCAUGGUAACAUCCGCGUCUUACUACCUGCCAUUUCUCAUGUUACUUAGACGCUACGAAAUUCGAGUAACAUUCCACGACCUGAGGAAUGAUUCGUUGCGCGAAUAUAGGUAUAUACUAUAUAAGCAGGUUAGUCAGGUAUAAGGUAGCUGCUACAUUGCUACUGCAGGUUGCGGACAUUUGUAAGCGAUAUAAUCCUCUGAUUAGAGAAUCGAUAUUAUACUCAAACUGUGCCGCACAAACGGUUCGAUCUUAAUUUAUAUUGCGAGUGCGGACCAGGUGCUGCAAUGUUUUCUGUGUUACAGUGGUUAAUUUUACACCACUGUAUUUGGAAAUAUACCAAGUUAUUUCUAACAUAAAUAACAGAGGCUAUAUGUAUAGUCAGGUGAAGUUUAUGUACACGUCAAAAAUUUUCUCUGGUAUACAUAUAUAUAUAUAUAACUGUGCUUCAGGUAGAGGAUUACCUGACUAAUGGAAAGUAUACUUUCCUAGUCUACCUGGUUUACGUAUAAAGGAAACAUAUGUGUCUUUUGAAUAUUGGUUUAAUAAACUGAUUUUUCGAGAGGAGAAUAAACGAAUUUUGUAGUCAACGUUGAAGCGGGAAACAAGCAACGAGAAUCAGGUGCUAUGGCGAACCAGGG